CCUACGGGAGGCAGCAGUGGGGAAUAUUGCACAAUUGGGGAAACCCUGAUGCCUCCCCUCCUCUUUCUUUCCUCCUUCUUUCUUUCUUUCCCUCUCUCUCAGCAGUGAAGAAGAAAGACGGUACCUGACUAAGAAGCCCCGGCUAACUACGUGCCAGCAGCCGCGGUAAUACGUAGGGGGCAAGCGUUAUCCGGAUUUACUGGGUGUAAAGGGAGCGUAGACGGCUGUGCAAGUCUGAAGUGAAAGCCCGUGGCUCAACCGCGGAACUGCUUUGGAAACUGUAUAGCUUGAGUACUGGAGAGGCAGGCGGAAUUCCUAGUGUAGCGGUGAAAUGCGUAGAUAUUAGGAGGAACACCAGUGGCGAAGGCGGCCUGCUGGACAGAAACUGACGUUGAGGCUCGAAAGCGUGGGGAGCAAACAGGAUUAGAUACCCGGGUAGUC
rnacentral:rRNA from 1 species